rnacentral:misc_RNA from 1 species
GUAGGUGAACCUGCGGAAGGAUCAUUACCAAAAAAAAAAAAGGGGGGGUAAAGAGCAAUCUUCCUCCUUUCUUUUUUUUUUAAUUUGACGCGUUUUACCUGCUUUUAUGUUGGUAAAACAAGUUAAAAUCUUUUGUGCACCGUAAAAAAAUUUCGCGUUUUACAAUAUUGUCAGUCAAUUUUCUUUUGAAAGACAAACAAGUCUUAAAACCACUUUGUUUGGAAAAAUAAAAAUAAAAAAUAACUUUUAACAAUGGAUCUCUUGGCUCUC